rnacentral:rRNA from 1 species
GACGAACGCUGGCGGCGUGCCUAAUACAUGCAAGUAGAACGCUGAAGGAGGAGCUUGCUUCUCUGGAUGAGUUGCGAACGGGUGAGUAACGCGUAGGUAACCUGCCUGGUAGCGGGGGAUAGCUAUUGGAAACGAUAGCUAAUACCGCAUAAGAGUAGAUGUUGCAUGACAUUUGCUUAAAAGGUGCAAUUGCAUCACUACCAGAUGGACCUGCGUUGUAUUAGCUAGUUGGUGGGGUAACGGCUCACCAAGGCGACGAUACAUAGCCGACCUGAGAGGGUGAUCGGCCACACUGGGACUGAGACACGGCCCAGACUCCUACGGGAGGCAGCAGUAGGGAAUCUUCGGCAAUGGACGGAAGUCUGACCGAGAAACGCCGCGUGAGUGAAGAAGGUUUUCGGAUCGUAAAGCUCUGUUGUAAGAGAAGAACGAGUGUGAGAGUGGAAAGUUCACACUGUGACGGUAUCUUACCAGAAAGAGACGGCUAACUACGUG